rnacentral:lncRNA from 1 species
ACUGUGGCAUAUUUGGACACUGAGGGAGGUGUUGGGAGACAGAGAGGAGUUGAGAGACAGAGAGAGAUGUUGUGUUGGGAGAAAGAGAGAGGUGUUGUGGUGUGUUGGGAGACAGGGAGAUGUGAUGGGUUGUGAUCGGAGACAGAUAGGCUUUGGGAGACAGAGAGAGGUGUUGUGGUGUGUUGGGAGACAUAGAGAGGUUUUGUGGUGUGUUUUGAUACGGAGAGAGGUGUUGUGGUGGUUGGGAGACAGAGAGGGGUGUUGUGGUGUGUUGGGAGACAGAGAGAGGUGUUGUGAUGUGUUUGGUGACAAAGAAGUAUUGUUAUGUGUGAGAUACAGAGAGAAGUGUUGUGGUGUGUUGGGAGACAGAGAGGUGUUGUUGUGUGUUUGGAGACAUAGAGAGGUGUUGUGG